ACUGGCAACUCAGUGGAAAGCUGUCUAACGCUAGCUGCGCAACAGGCAAGCAGCUAGCGUUGUUGGCAAACAACAGUCGUGGUCUGACACCGGUACUGAACGUCCCGGGUCGUGAAAUCAAUGCGUAUUGACUUUGUACUACACACGAAGCAGUGGAACGAGUUUUCCACAGUUGUCAACGAUUUUGGCGUGAUUUUAUGGACUUCAGCCGUACAGCAUUAGCUUGUUUUGCUGCGACUACGUUAGCUAACGGUAGCUCAUGCGCUAGCGUGACAUACGUAUGUUAACGGUUGAAGGAAGGAAGGAAGGAAGGAAAUUAACUGGCAUAGGUAGGAUCGCUCCGCUCCAUUUGCUAAGCUACUUUGUGGACGUUUCGGCUCUACAUCGUGACGCAUCUUGAAAAUGUGACUUGUGCAGCCUGUGAGACAUUUAACACUAUUUGUUAAUGAGAUAGUUGGUAGGUGUCGCUAGCUGUCAACAAAAGUCCUUGCUAGCGGUACUGCAAAUUUGCCACAAACUUCUUAAGAAGUUGUGAAUCAGAUUGGGUAAUCUGAUUGAUUUGUGCUACUAAUAAGCAGGUGUGUUAGUCGUUUGUUGGCGGACUGUUUCUCUUUAGCGACAGCGGGACAAACCCAUGGCAUCGGGUGUGAUUGAGAGUGAAGCCGUGCUACAUGGUUUAAGUGAUAUGAAUUUGAACAAUAGCAACCCGGAUUGUGUCACACCCAGGAGGACUCAUGGUGGAAACAGGCAGACUUCCAGUCCCUCAUCCUCCGGGGUGUCCGGAGAGGGUGACGUGGAGGAAGUAGAUGAAUUACAAAAUAGCACCAUUGAAAAUGGCGAAGAGGCACAGAAGGAGAGUCUGACGACAAGUAGAGUUACGCUGCAGGAGAAGACGACACCAGAACAUGGACAGAAACAGCCAGCAGCAAGAAGCUCUACUCCAGUGAAACCUUCCCAGCCACGCUCACCAUCUGGACCUGUAGGAAGUCUUGAUCGCCAAGAAUCAGUCGCGACAACAGAGGCCCGUUUAAGAAUGGAAGGAGUUGAACUUAAGGAAGAGUGGCAAGAUGAGGACUUUCCACGGCCCCUACCAGAGGAGGAGGAGCUUGAAGAAGAGCUUUUUGCUGGGUCAUCUGAAAACCGAGACCCUGACUAUGUAAUCAACCAUAGCAAGAGGGCAAAGAAAAAGCUUGCAGCACCAGACAUCAGUCUGACAUUGGAUCGCAGUGAGGGCUCUCUUCUCUCAGAUGAACUGGAUGAAAGCACAGAGCUAGACCUUGAUGACAUCGACACACCCUCAGACAACAGCAAUGAGUUUGAGUGGGAAGAUGAUCUCCCAAAACCAAAAACCACAGAGCUGCUACAGAAAGGUGUGGCGUCAGUUCAGGAGUACUCGGUCUCAGAGGAGAGGGAGGAGGGUCGACGCUGGAGGAUGUUUCGUUUUGGAGACCAGGAGCACAGAGUGGACAUGAAGGCUAUUGAACCUUACAAGAGGGUUAUCAGCCAUGGAGGUUACUAUGGAGACGGCUUGAAUGCCAUAAUUGUCUUUGCCGUUUGCUUCAUGCCUGAGAGCAAUCAGCCAAAUUACAGAUACAUCAUGGACAAUUUAUUCAAGUAUGUCAUUGGCACACUGGAGCUUCUGGUUGCUGAGAACUAUAUGAUAGUGUAUUUGAACGGGGCGACCUCUCGUAAGAAGAUGCCAACUGUCGGCUGGCUCAGAAAGUGUUAUCAGCAGAUUGAUAGAAGGUUAAGAAAGAACUUGAAGUCUUUGAUAAUUGUCCAUCCUUCUUGGUUUAUCCGCACCCUGCUGGCACUGACGAAACCUUUCAUAAGCUCCAAAUUUAGUCAAAAAAUCAAGUAUGUGUACAGCUUGACAGACCUUGCAGCACUGGUUCCAAUGGAGUAUGUGUCAAUUCCAGAUUGUAUCAAACAGUUUGACAACGAAAAAAAUAGGACAAGCCGUAAAAGGUCUGUUCAGUUCUGACGUCAACAUCUGUCCUGGGGGAUCCAUUCACAAGUGGACCGCUUUAAUUCAAGGUGUGAACACAAGAUCGACCAGGACAUGCACGGUAAAUUAGAGAUUGCAGCUGCUGCGGUUCCAGAGUGACCCUGCUCGUUGUUGGAGGAGACGAGGAGGAGAAACGAUAAGCAAUGUUUCGAACCACAGCCACUCUUGGUGUUUAUAAUCUGGGCAACAUGACUGACGACUUAAAUGUUAGCAUCAGGAAAGAGCCUUUUUACAGCCUGUUACAUUGUGGAACUUUGUGUUGUAUUUCUCUGUCAAAGCAUCUUGAUCAGCAUUUCUUACACAUGCUCUCUCAAGCAUUUUUAAUCAUUUUUAUUCACUGCCAAUAUAUUAUGUAAGACUUAGUUUAUUGGUCUUCCCAUGUUAUUGUUGUAUCUAGUCAUUAUUUAAGACACUCUCUUAAAAAUGGUUGAUGCAUGCUCUGCUUUAUUGCAUUUAAAUAUAUAUAUUUAUAUUCAAAAGGUGACAAAGGAGAGAGAUUAAUAUAUUUUUAUGAUUGCUCUGAUUUUAAAAUGCAUUUUAGGUCUCUGACCCAAUGAGUGGAAUUUCAUAGAACAAGUUUUCAUGGCACCUUUUUCACUGUUCACUGUGUUCAAGUCUUGCCCGGGGAAAAUAAAGUUUCACAAUUUUUCGCCCCUCA